rnacentral:rRNA from 1 species
AUUGAACGCUGGCGGCAGGCUUAACACAUGCAAGUCGAGCGGAGUGAUGGUGCUUGCACUAUCACUUAGCGGCGGACGGGUGAGUAAUGCUUAGGAAUCUGCCUAUUAGUGGGGGACAACAUCUCGAAAGGGAUGCUAAUACCGCAUACGUCCUACGGGAGAAAGCAGGGGAUCACUUGUGACCUUGCGCUAAUAGAUGAGCCUAAGUCGGAUUAGCUAGUUGGUGGGGUAAAGGCCUACCAAGGCGACGAUCUGUAGCGGGUCUGAGAGGAUGAUCCGCCACACUGGGACUGAGCCACGGCCCAGACUACUACGGGAGGCAGCAGUGGGGAAUAUUGGACAAUGGGGGGAACCCUGAUCCAGCCAUGCCGCGUGUGUGAAGAAGGCCUUAUGGUUGUAAAGCACUUUAAGCGAGGAGGAGGCUUACCUAGUUAAUACCUGGGAUAAGUGGACGUUACUCGCAGAAUAAGCACCGGCUAAUUCUGUGCCAGCCGCCGCCGUAA